rnacentral:rRNA from 1 species
UACGUAGGGCCCGAGCAUUAUCCGGAAUUAUUGGGCGUAAAGAGCGUGUAGGUGUUCUAUCAAGUCGGUCGUUAAAUCUCACUGCCUAACAGUGAGGCCGCGAGCGAUACUGAUGGAAUUGAGGUUUGCAGGGGCUAGCAGAAUUUCCAGAGUAGGGGUGAAAUCCGUUGAUACUGGAAGGAAUACCAAUGGCGAAGGCAGCUAGCUGGGCAACACCUGACACUGAGACGCGAAAGCGUGGGGAGCGAACGGG